AUUCCAGACUCCUACGGGAGGCAGCAGUGGGGGAUAUUGCACAAUGGGGGGAACCCUGAUGCAGCGACGCCGCGUGGGUGAAGAAGUAUUUCGGUAUGUAAAGCCCUAUCGGCAGGGAAGAAAUUGGACGGUACCUGACUAAGAAGCCCCGGCUAACUACGUGCCAGCAGCCGCGGUAAUACGUAGGGGGCAAGCGUUAUCCGGAUUCACUGGGUGUAAAGGGAGCGUAGACGGCCAUGAAGCCUGGAGUGAAAGCCCGGGGCCCAACCCCGGGACUGCUCUGGGAACUGUGCGGCUGGAGUGCGGGAGGGGCAGGCGGAAUUCCUGGUGUAGCGGUGAAAUGCGUAGAUAUUAGGAGGAACACCAGUGGCGAAGGCGGCUUACUGGACUGUAACUGACGUUGAGGCUCGAAAGCGUGGGGAGCAAACAGGAUUAGAUACCCGCGUAA
rnacentral:rRNA from 1 species